CAAAGGCCUUGUUGAUGAAGGUACAACAAGCUGGGGAGGCUUUGGCAUUUCUGCACAAUGCUGUUCCCUGCCUGUCACUCCAGACUCAGAUUCAGAAAGAAGCAAAGCAAGCUAGAGGAAAACUGGAUGUCCAGUAUCCAAAACUCCGUGUUACAGUGGAUCUUCUCCUCUGAUCCGAAAAGCUUCACAGGCCAAAAGAGAAUUGAGAUGAAGAAGGCAAGAGAGAAUGCAGACCAAGACUUCCAAUUCCCCCCCGUAUGAGGUGAAGAAGAACACUGCAGCCAGCUGAAGCCGUAUCGGACACAUGCUUCUGUUCUGCUCGGAAGUAAACCAGAGCGAUUCCACGGUGUACUUUAGACAGAUUUCCUCUGGACUCAGCAUCGCCAAGGGAUAUUUCA